UGAAAGGUGCUUGCAUCUUGAUUUAAUUUUGAACGAGUGGCGGACGGGUGAGUAACACGUGGGUAACUGCCCUUAAGUGGGGGAUAACAUUUGGAAACAGAUGCUAAUACCGCAUAAAUCCAAGAACCGCAUGGUUCUUGGCUGAAAGAUGGCGUAAGCUAUCGCUUUUGGAUGGACCCGCGGCGUAUUAGCUAGUUGGUGAGGUAACGGCUCACCAAGGCAAUGAUACGUAGCCGAACUGAGAGGUUGAUCGGCCACAUUGGGACUGAGACACGGCCCAAACUCCUACGGGAGGCAGCAGUAGGGAAUCUUCCACAAUGGACGCAAGUCUGAUGGAGCAACGCCGCGUGAGUGAAGAAGGCUUUCGGGUCGUAAAACUCUGUUGUUGGAGAAGAAUGGUCGGCAGAGUAACUGUUGUCGGCGUGACGGUAUCCAACCAGAAAGCCACGGCUAACUACGUGCCAGCAGCCGCGGUAAUACGUAGGUGGCAAGCGUUAUCCGGAUUUAUUGGGCGUAAAGCGAGCGCAGGCGGUUUUUUAAGUCUGAUGUGAAAGCCCUCGGCUUAACCGAGGAAGUGCAUCGGAAACUGGGAAACUUGAGUGCAGAAGAGGACAGUGGAACUCCAUGUGUAGCGGUGAAAUGCGUAGAUAUAUGGAAGAACACCAGUGGCGAAGGCGGCUGUCUGGUCUGUAACUGACGCUGAGGCUCGAAAGCAUGGGUAGCGAACAGGAUUAGAUACCCUGGUAGUCCAUGCCGUAAACGAUGAAUCUAGGUGUUGGAGGGUUUCCGCCCUUCAGUGCCGCAGCUAACGCAUUAAGCAUUCCGCCUGGGGAGUACGACCGCAAGGUUGAAACUCAAAGGAAUUGACGGGGGCCCGCACAAGCGGUGGAGCAUGUGGUUUAAUUCGAAGCAACGCGAAGAACCUUACCAGGUCUUGACAUCUUUUGAUCACCUGAGAGAUCAGGUUUCCCCUUCGGGGGCAAAAUGACAGGUGGUGCAUGGUUGUCGUCAGCUCGUGUCGUGAGAUGUUGGGUUAAGUCCCGCAACGAGCGCAACCCUUAUGACUAGUUGCCAGCAUUUAGUUGGGCACUCUAGUAAGACUGCCGGUGACAAACCGGAGGAAGGUGGGGAUGACGUCAAAUCAUCAUGCCCCUUAUGACCUGGGCUACACACGUGCUACAAUGGAUGGUACAACGAGUUGCGAGACCGCGAGGUCAAGCUAAUCUCUUAAAGCCAUUCUCAGUUCGGACUGUAGGCUGCAACUCGCCUACACGAAGUCGGAAUCGCUAGUAAUCGCGGAUCAGCACGCCGCGGUGAAUACGUUCCCGGGCCUUGUACACACCGCCCGUCACACCAUGAGAGUUUGUAACACCCGAAGCCGGGUGGCGUAACCCUUUUAGGGAGCGAGCCGUCUAAGGUGGGACAAAUGAUUAGGGUGAAGUCG
rnacentral:rRNA from 2 species